UACGUAGGGUGCGAGCGUUGUCCGGAAUUACUGGGCGUAAAGAGCUCGUAGGUGGUUUGUCGCGUUGUUCGUGAAAACUCACAGCUCAACUGUGGGCGUGCGGGCGAUACGGGCAGACUGGAGUACUGCAGGGGAGACUGGAAUUCCUGGUGUAGCGGUGGAAUGCGCAGAUAUCAGGAGGAACACCGGUGGCGAAGGCGGGACUCUGGGCCGAUACUGACGCUGAGGAGCGAAAGCGUGGGGAGCAAACAGG
rnacentral:rRNA from 1 species